GUUAUAAUCUUCAUGUUCUGGUGCUAACAUGCAAACAUGGCAAUAAGCAAUGGGCUCCAGAGGUCAGUGACUUUGUAAGGAGUGGAUACUGGCCUGCUACCAUGCAAGUGUGGCAGGAUGGCUAGAUCCUCCUAUAUUGAUUGUUAGGAUUGUUGGCCUAUCAGUGGUUAGGGGUGAGCAUAUAAAAGUUGGAGUUGUGUCACAAGGAUGUGUUGCUCUUAGGUGCCCCGCCCCUUUCUGGUACCAGUGUUUACAUUGUGGUUAGCAGUGUGGCUAACUUGGUCACAGCUCACUUAGGGUUCUUUUUGUGCAUCUAUCCAAAGGCCGCAUGAAGUCGACUGGUUAAUGUUGCAACCGGUGUUUGGUCAGACUGCUUACUUGGGUGCUGUGGGUCAAACCCCAAAAAGGGCAGGGAGGCAGAUCUCCACAUGUGUGUGUGGUGGUGGUGCUAUCUUGUCACCGUGUGCAGUGUUGUGGCGUGUCGAUCACCAACCAAAAUCUCACUGAGUAUCGUGUGUAUGUGAAUGGGUGCACCGAUAGUGUGUGAUAAUUGCAUUUUGUGAUUCUUUAGGAGUUGAUUCCAGCUGACCACAGCCCUGUAAAUCUUUGCUCUUUUUGUGUGAUCAGCAACACGUAACCAAAUAUUAAGUGUG